rnacentral:misc_RNA from 1 species
GUAGGUGAACCUGCGGAAGGAUCAUUAACACGUAUCCAACGUUAAACCCCCCCGUGAACGUACAAUCUGUUGCUUCUCCGGUAACGCGAAACAAUGGUUGCAAUCCCUGGUAAAUCAUCGCCGAACAGUUUUGAUUCAGGGACUUCAAGCACGUUACUGUCCUGAUAAAAGAGGAGUCCCCAGCGCAAGCUUUUCUUGACCUGGUGGGUGGGUUCGACUAUCCCAAGGUAUGGCGUGCUUUCGAUGUUGC